rnacentral:rRNA from 1 species
AUUGAACGCUGGCGGCAUGCUUUACACAUGCAAGUCGAACGGCAGCGCGGGGGCGAACCCUGGCGGGCGAGUGGCGAACGGGUGAGUAAUGCAUCGGAACGUAUCCUGUAAUGGGGGAGUAACGUAGCGAAAGUUACGCUAAUACCGCAUACGCUCGAGAGAGGAAAGUGGGGAGUCGCAAGACCUCACGUUAUAGGAGCGGCCGAUGCCCGAUUAGCUAGUUGGUGGGGUAAAGGCCUACCAAGGCGACGAUCGGUAGCUGGUCUGAGAGGAUGAUCAGCCACACUGGGACUGAGACACGGCCCAGACUCCUACGGGAGGCAGCAGUGGGGAAUUUUGGACAAUGGGCGAAAGCCUGAUCCAGCCAUGCCGCGUGCGGGAAGAAGGCCUCGGUUGU